ACUCGAAUCUCAGAGUCCCAAAAAUGCUCUCUGACUUUUUCUUUGUGUUCCGCUGAGAGUCGACUCUUGCUUUCUUUGGAGUCGACCUACCAACCAUCGGAGUCGACUCGCGUUCCACUGGAGUCGACUCGAAUUUCAGACCCGAAAACUGCUCUCUGACUUUUCUGCCUAUGACUCCUAGGAGUCGACUCAUACUUCUCCGGAGUCGACUCAUACUUCUCCGGAGUCGACUCAUACUUCUCCGGAGUCGACUCGAAUUCCACUGGAGUCGACUCGAAGACUGUUCUUUUAAAUUUUCUUUUGAUUUUACUCCUCCAAUUUGAAUCCUUUGAACUUUAAACUUGGGCCAAUAAAUUGUAGCUUUCUUCCAACUUGAGAGCUUUGGAGGCCUUCUUGUGUUCUUCCAACUUGCUAUGUUCCUUGCAAAAUAAAUAUCUUUCUCCUUGCAACAUAAGCAUUAGUAUCUAUACUUCAAGGUUUUGUGAUCAUCAAAAUCAAUCUAUGAAUCAAUCUUUGGGUCAUCAAUCUCCCCCUUUUUGAUGAUGACAAAACUUGGAGUAUAUGCAAUAUAAAAGAUAUUGUUUUCUAGAAGUAAUACAUAGCAAAGUUGCAUG
rnacentral:lncRNA from 1 species